UAAAGAUUCAUCGCUGAUAGAUAGGCAUGCGUUCCAUUAGGCAGUUGGCGGGGUAACGGCCCACCAAACCGACGAUGGAUAGGGGUUCUGAGAGGAAGGUCCCCCACAUUGGUACUGAGACACGGACCAAACUCCUACGGGAGGCAGCAGUGAGGAAUAUUGGUCAAUGGGCGUAAGCCUGAACCAGCCAAGUCGCGUGAGGGAUGAAGGUUCUAUGGAUCGUAAACCUCUUUUAUAAGGGAAUAAAGUGUGGGACGUGUCCUGUUUUGUAUGUACCUUAUGAAUAAGGAUCGGCUAACUCCGUGCCAGCAGCCGCGGUAAUACGGAGGAUCCGAGCGUUAUCCGGAUUUAUUGGGUUUAAAGGGUGCGUAGGCGGCCUUUUAAGUCAGCGGUGAAAGUCUGUGGCUCAACCAUAGAAUUGCCGUUGAAACUGGGAGGCUUGAGUAUGUUUGAGGCAGGCGGAAUGCGUGGUGUAGCGGUGAAAUGCUUAGAUAUCACGCAGAACCCCGAUUGUGAAGGCAGCCUGCCAAGCCAUGACUGACGCUGAUGCACGAAAGCGUGGGGAUCAAACAGGAUUAGAUACCCUGGUAGUCCACGCAGUAAACGAUGAUCACUAGCUGUUUGCGAUACAGUGUAA
rnacentral:rRNA from 1 species